rnacentral:rRNA from 1 species
CACGGGGGGAGCAAGCGUUGUUCGGAAUCACUGGGCGUAAAGGGCGUCUAGGCGGUUCGGUAAGUGGAAUGUGAAAUCCCUCGGCUCACCCGAGGACCUGCAUCCCAAACUGCCGAGCUUGAGUAUGGGAGAGGAUGAGGGAAUUCCUGGUGUAGCGGUGAAAUGCGUAGAUAUCAGGAGGAACACCGGUGGUGUAAACGGCUUUCUGGACCAUAACUGACGCUGAGGCACGAAAGCGUGGGGAGCGAACAGG